AAAAGUAGUGAAGCGUGUGAGCCAUGUGCCGAGAAAAGCUGCUAUUGUGUAAUGCGUGCCCGUACCGUAAACCGACACAGGUGGAUGAGGAGAGAAUCCUAAGGCCGACGGAAGAAGCAUUGUUAAGGAAUUCGGCAAAAUGACCCCGUAACUUCGGGAGAAGGGGUGCCUGCGAGAGCAGGCCGCAGAGAAUAGGCUCAAGCAACUGUUUAGCAAAAACACAGGUCUAUGCGAAACCGAAAGGUGAAGUAUAUGGGCUGACGCCUGCCCGGUGCUGGAAGGUUAAGAGGAGAGGUUAGCGUAAGCGAAGCCUUGAAUUUAAGCCCCAGUAAACGGCGGCCGUAACUAUAACGGUCCUAAGGUAGCGAAAUUCCUUGUCGGGUAAGUUCCGACCCGCACGAAAGGCGUAAUGAUUUGAGCACUGUCUCGACAAUGCAUCCGGUGAAAUUGAAGUACCAGUGAAGAUGCUGGUUACCCGCGCCAGGACGGAAAGACCCCAUGGAGCUUUACUCCAGUUUGAUACUGGGAUUCGGUACUGCAUGUACAGGAUAGGUGGGAGACGAAGAAGGAUGGACGCCAGUCUGUCCGGAGUCGCUGUUGGGAUACCACCCCUGUAGUACUGGGUUUCUAACCAGUUGCCAUGAACUGGCAAUGGGACAAUGUCAGGCGGGGAGUUUGACUGGGGCGGUCGCCUCCGGAAGGGUAUCGGAGGCGCUCAAAGGUUCCCUCAGAAUGGUUGGAAACCAUUUGAAGAGUGCAAAGGCAGAAGGGAGCUUGACUGCGACACCGACGGGUGGAGCAGGUACGAAAGUAGGACUUAGUGAUCCGGUGGUAUAAAGUGGGAUUGCCAUCGCUCAACGGAUAAAAGCUACCCUGGGAUAACAGGCUUAUCACUCCCAAGAGUUCACAUCGACGGAGUGGUUUGGCACCUCGAUGUCGGCUCAUCGCAUCCUGGGGCUGUAGCAGGUCCCAAGGGUUGGGCUGUUCGCCCAUUAAAGCGGUACGCGAGCUGGGUUCAGAACGUCGUGAGACAGUUCGGUCCCUAUCCGGCGCGGGCGGAGGAUAUUUGAGAGGAGCUGUCCUUAGUACGAGAGGACCGGGAUGGACGGACCACUGGUGUAUCUGUUGUCGACCAACGGCAUGGCAGAGUAGCCAAGUCCGGAAGGGAUAAACGCUGAAGGCAUCUAAGCGUGAAGCCCCCCUCAAGAUGAGAUAUCCCUCCUUCGGGAGUAAGACCCCUUGAAGACUACAAGGUAGAUAGGGCAGAGGUGGAAGCAUGGCAACAUGUGGAGCUGACUGUUACUAAUAGGUCGAGGGCUC
rnacentral:rRNA from 1 species